GGACAAAGUUUUAAGAUUCAAGGAGAAUGGUAUAGGAAUCUUAGACUCUUAAACCAUGACAAGGAGAAAGAAUGAUUAGCCCCUUUUAUUGGAACUUACACGUGGCUGCACGAAAAAUAGCACAACAAAUAAAAUCUCGAAAAUUUGGUUGUGAACUCUGAUGUCGUGGCUCUUCAACGACACCUUCACUCCAUACUGUUAAAUAGGUUGGAGGUGAGAGCUAGUCAUCAUAACCAAGUCAUAACGACAAGAUCAGUCAGUUCUGCAUUAUGCUGGUAUUGACCUGUCGUCAGCAGAAAUCUCAGCAGUUUCAGUCAUCACCUGGAAAAACAACAUCCCCCUUGAUUGGAGAAAUUACCAAUGUCGAGGUCAUCCUGGUGGAAUCAACUUUAUAUUCUGUGAAUGGCCGGAGUGUGGACUGUGGAUGACUGAUGGCUAUCUUUCCCAGGCAGAAAGGUAGGACAAAUUCAUCUCUAUUCUUCCUCUUUGACUGUUUGGUGAGUUUUAUAUUGAUCUCUAUUUUUUAUAAAUCUUGACAUAGUACGGGGUAUAGGAUUAUUCUGGA